rnacentral:rRNA from 1 species
UACGGAGGGUGCGAGCGUUAUUCGGAAUUACUGGGCGUAAAGCGCGUGUAGGCGGGGGGACAAGUCAGAUGUGAAAGCCCUGGGCUUAACCUCGGAAUCGCAUUGGAAACUGGUUUUCUUGAGUACUGGAGAGGAAGGGGGAAUUUCCGGUGUAGAGGUGAAAUUCGUAGAGAUCGGGAGGAAUACCAGUGGCGUAGGCGCCCUUCUGGACGGUAACUGACGCUGAGACGCGAAAGCGUGGGGAGCAAACAGG